AAAAAAAAGGGAAAGCCGACCUGGGGCUGAUUUGAUGAAGUGAAUGCGACCAAAAAAGCAGCUCUUUGGUCCCCUCUCCUUCUCUUCUCUUCCACAUUCCUUGUGAAGAGUUGCGCCUACAAAUAUGGCAAACCCUCCUAAGAUUUCUUCCACCUUCUUCUUCCUCUCAUCAUCCUCUUCCUCUUCCUCUUCCUCUUCCACCUUCAAACUUGCUGACUUUUCUAACUUUAUUCUUUGACAUUUAUAAUACAGAUCUCUAUCUUCUUCAUUCAAUACAUACACAAUACAAUACCAAAUACAAGAUUAAUAAUAUUCUUUCUGCCUAACCUUAAAUCUUUGUUUAUCAGGUUGAAUCUUUUAUACAAGGAAUACUUACUUACAUCUAUGGGAGAAGCACCAGCUUUCUUUGCUGAUAGUCUCUUGGGAGAUUUUCCAAAUGGGAUCGAUUUGAAAUCUAAAGGCCACAAAACAGCUAUUUCUAUCGGCUCUAAAAUUUAUGUGAUUGGCGGGGCUGAUCAUGAGUCGACAGCGGUAAUUGGAGUUCAAAUAUUUGAGAAAUCUAGUGGGGAAUGGAUAAACCCCACUGUGCUGGGUACUAAACCCAAGGUCUCAAAUGGCCACUCAGCUGUGCUUUUAAAUGGUGAUCGUAUAUUGGUUAUUAAGGGCAAUUCCAAGUCUGAUGAAUGCUUUUGGUUUCUUGAGGUGGGCACCUCAUUUAUAAGAGAACAGGAAAAGACAUAUGGAACUGAGGUGGUUGCCUGGAGUAAGGGAGUUUUAGGUAAUGUGGAGAAGCCUAUUGUCAUUAGUGGCCCUUCUGGAGUGGGGAAGGGUACCUUGAUAUCUGAACUAAUGAAAGAGUUCCCAUCUAUGUUUGGAUUUUCUGUGAGCCACACGACCCGGGCCCCAAGAGAAAAAGAGCAGAAUGGAUUUCAUUACCAUUUCAGUGACCGCAGUGUAAUGGAGAGAGAGAUAAAGGAUGGGAAAUUCCUGGAGUUUGCUUCUGUUCAUGGUAAUCUUUAUGGAACCAGUGUCGAAGCAGUUGAGGUGGUUGCUGAUGCUGGCAAGCGAUGCAUCCUUGAUAUUGAUGUUCAAGGUGCAAGGUCUGUGAGAGCUAGCUCUCUUGAAGCUAUUUUCAUUUUUAUAUCUCCACCAUCAUUUGAAGAACUUGAGAAGCGCCUUCGUGCAAGAGCAACUGAGACUGAAGAGCAAAUCCAAAAGCGUCUCCGAAAUGCUAGGGCGGAACUCGAACAAGGAAACUCAUCCGGUCUCUUUGAUCAUAUUUUGGUGAACGAUGACCUAGAAAGUUGUUAUGAGAAUCUUAAGAUUCAGAAUUAGUCGACUUGCCUGUUGAACAUUUAGUCUCGAAGAUUGAUCAGAAGAUUUUAAUUAACUGUGGUGCUGGAGAAUAUGAAAAGGCAUCCGAUAGCAUGUAUGUUCUGGACUUGUCUUUGGUUAAAGGAGGGGCCCCAGGACGGACACGAGGACUAAAUCUAUUUGUGACCAAUCCUUCGACUGAUAGAGUAAAUGACGAAAAUCAGCUGAGCUAACCUACCACCUUCUGGUUUCAAUAAUUGUUUUUCACUUCUUACAUCUCUAUACGGGUAGAGAACCACAAUUUGACUACGUCAUAUCUUACAUGGAUAGUUUAGUCCCUGAUGCAGCUAUUAAAUGAGAAAUGAUUUCUAAUUAUUAAAAAAUUGUAGGUUAGCAGCCUGAACUAUUGAAAGCCUAAGAUAUGUAACUCUUCUACUCGAGGAUUGAGCAUGUUGGAUGUAAUUCUUUCAGCUUUUUCUAUAGCUUGCUUAUUCAUAUCUCUUUUUUUUCUUA